UGGCGAACGGGUGAGUAAUACAUCGGAACGUGCCCAGUAGUGGGGGAUAACCCGGCGAAAGCCGGACUAAUACCGCAUACGACCUACGGGUGAAAGCAGGGGAUCGCAAGACCUUGCGCUAUCGGAGCGGCCGAUGUCAGAUUAGCUAGUUGGUAGGGUAAAAGCCUACCAAGGCGACGAUCUGUAGCUGGUCUGAGAGGACGACCAGCCACACUGGGACUGAGACACGGCCCAG
rnacentral:rRNA from 1 species